UACGUAGGGGGCGAGCGUUGUCCGGAAUCAUUGGGCGUAAAGAGCUCGUAGGCGGUUCAGCAAGUCGGCUGUGAAAUUCCGAGGCUCAACCUCGGAACUGCAGUCGAUACUGCUGUGACUCGAGUCCGGUAGAGGAGAAUGGAAUUCCCGGUGUAGCGGUGAAAUGCGCAGAUAUCGGGAGGAACACCAGUAGCGAAGGCGGUUCUCUGGGCCGGUACUGACGCUGAGACGCGAAAGCGUGGGGAGCGAACAGG
rnacentral:rRNA from 1 species